rnacentral:lncRNA from 1 species
UUUGUUUUAUGCAAUUUAUUUUUGCUUGAAACAUAUUUAGCCAUAGAUAUGGGCAAAACAAAAUUGCCGUCCUAACUUCCAUAGGAGGCCAGGACUUUGUUUAAUGGUUGUCAUACGUUUGGGAUGCUGAGACUUGUCUUUGAGGUUUACAUGUUUUGAGCUUUUAAAUCCCUCCAACAAAAACCUCUAUGCAUGCAAUUUUACCUUAUGUUUUAUGACCUUUACAGUGUGUUUUGACUUUGGAGUUCAUAUCUCUUUCUCUUCGAUGAUUUGUACUCCCUCCUCCAUCUCUUGUAAAUCUAGUGGGUUGAUGUUUUUUUGGUUUUGGGGUUGGGGGGAGGUAGACUGGUUUUAGUUCUGUGUUUCUGGAGGACUAAGAAGAUACUGGUAAUGUGUUGUCACGCUCUUGUUGUUCUUGCUGCUGCUAUUUAUUUUCUGAACAGUAAUUUGAUUAUGGUGAUUAUGGUGAAGAUGAAGAUAGUGUUGGUUAAAUUAGUCUUUUAUUUUAAAUUUUGAUUAAUAAAAGUUCAGUCAUGUGAUUUAAAUUUAGAAAUUUAAUACUCUCCUUAGAAUCUUUGAAUACCUUCAAAUCAAAUAUUGAAAUUCAGUCAUGUGAUUAUGAUGAAGAUGAAGAUAAUGUAAAUGUGAUUUACUUGGAGCUGUAAUAUUUAUUUUAUGCAAUUUAUUUUUGCUUGAAACAUAUUUAGCCAUAGAUAUGGGCAAAACAAAAUUGCCGUCCUAACUUCAAUAGGAGGUCAGGACUUUGUUUAAUGGUUGUCAUACGUUUGGGAUGCUGAGACUUGUCUUUGAGGUUUACAUGUUUUGAGCUUUUAAAUCUCUCCAACAAAAACCUCUAUGCAUGUAGUUUUACCUUAUGUUUUAUGACCUUUGCAGUGUGUUUUGACUUUGGAGUUCAUAUCUCUUUCUCUUCGAUGAUUUGUAACUCCCUCCUCCAUCUCUUGUAAAUCUAGUGGGUUGGUGUUUUUUUGGUUUUGGGGUUGGCGGGAGGUUGACUGGUUUUAGUUCUGUGUUUCUGGAGGACUAAGAAGAUACUGGUAAUGUGUUGUCACGCUCUUGUUGUUCUUGCUGUUGCUGCUUAUUUUCUAAACAGUAAUUUGAUUAUGGUGAUUAUGGUGAAGAUGAAGAUAGUGUUGGUUAAAUCAGUCUUUUAUUUUAAAUUUUGAUUAAUAAAAGUUCAGUCAUGUGAUUUAAAUUUAGAAAUUUAAUACUCUCCUUAGAAUCUUUGAAUACCUUCAAAUCAAAUAUUGAAAUUCAGUCAUGUGAUUAUGAUGAAGAUGAAGAUAAUGUAAAUGUGAUUUACCUGGAGCUGUAAUAUUUGUUUUAUGCAAUUUAUUUUUGCUUGAAACAUAUUUAGCUAUAGAUAUGGGCAAAACAAAAUUGUCGUCCUAACUUCCAUAGGAGGCCUUGACUUUGUUUAAUGGUUGUCAUACGUUUGGGGUGCUGAGACUUGUCUUUGAGGUUUACAUGUUUUGAGCUUUUAAAUCCCUCCAACAGAAAAACCUCUAUGCAUGCAGUUUUACCUUAUGUUUUAUGACUUUUGCAUUGUGUUUUGACUUUGGAGUUCAUAUCUCUUUCUCUUCGAUGAUUUGUACUCCCUCCUCCAUCUCUUGUAAAUCUAGUGGGUUGGUGUUUUUUUAGUUUUGGGGUUGGGGGGAGGUGGACUGGUUUUAGUUCUGUGUUUCUGGAGGACUAAGAAGAUACUGGUAAUAUGUUGUCAUGCUCUUGUUGUUCUUGUUGCUGCUGCAGUUAUUUAUUUUUUGAACAGUAAUUUGAUUAUGGUGAUUAUGAUGAAGAUGAAGAUAAUGUUGAUUAAAUUGUAUUUAUAAUCUACCAUCAAAUCGUUAUGAUCCAAUUAUAGUGACUAAAUUGAACUGAAGAAGGCCCAGUAGUUUUGGGCCGAAUUAGCGAAUUUUAUUCGGAGCCCCAAGUUUCCACCUUUCUUGAGCGGAGGGAAAUCGAAAAGUUCGUUUAUCAUUCAUUCGUAUACUUACUUCAGCACAAAUAGCUUUUUUACAAUUCGAUCUCUCUCCCAAAAUUCAUUAUCAGUUCAGUGAUCAAAUCAAAAUCCAAC